GCAACUUUAGCUCAGUGGCAGAGCACCCGCUUUGCAUGCAGAAGGUCGUAGGUUCAAUCCCCAGCAUCUCCA